rnacentral:rRNA from 1 species
UACAGAGGGUGCGAGCGUUGUUCGGAAUUAUUGGGCGUAAAGAGCGUGUAGGCGGCCAUACAGGUCAGCUGUGAAAACUCGAGGCUCAACCUCGAGACGUCGGUUGAAACCGUAUGGCUAGAGUCCGGAAGAGGAGAGUGGAAUUCCCGGUGUAGCGGUGAAAUGCGCAGAUAUCGGGAAGAACACCCGUGGCGAAGGCGGCUCUCUGGGACGGUACUGACGCUGAGACGCGAAAGCGUGGGGAGCGAACAGG